rnacentral:lncRNA from 1 species
AUUCAAGUACCCAUGUUGCAUUUAGUCAAAAACUCAAAUUUGGAUUGACAUAGUCCACUACAUAAAUGCAACUAAUUGAACUAAUUAGCAUGUUGAUUGCAUGGACACUAGGAAUUUAAUGUACCUACACUAUUCACAAAUGUUGUUGAUAUACCUAAUUUGUCACCGUUGUUCAACUUUUUACCGAUAUAUAUGCUUGAUGAUUUAAGAAAACAUCUACAUCCUACGACGAUUC